AUGCGAUAAGUAAUGUGAAUUGCAGAAUUCAGUGAAUCAUCGAAUCUUUGAACGCACAUUGCGCCCACUAGUAUUCUGGUGGGCAUGCCUGUUCGAGCGUCAUUUCAACCCUCAAGCCUCAGUUGCUUGGUGUUGGGAGCUUAUCUUGCCGAAAGGCGGACAACUCCUUAAAACUAUUGGCGGAGUGGCGGUGACCCCAAGCGUAGUAAAUCUAUUUUUCUCGCUUUAGGUGUUAGCGCUGUCUUCUAGCCGCUAAACCCUCUAAAUCUUUUAGUGGUUGACCUCGGAUCAGGUAGGACUACCCGCUGAACUUAA
rnacentral:misc_RNA from 1 species